GGUCCCAUCGUCUAGAGGCCCAGGACAGUGCCCUCUCACGGCACAGACACGGGUUCGAAUCCCGUUGGGACUACCA
rnacentral:tRNA from 1 species